rnacentral:rRNA from 1 species
CCGGCGACCGGCGCACGGGUGAGUAACACGUAUGCAACCUGCCCUCUUCAGGGGACAACCUUCCGAAAGGGAGGCUAAUCCCGCGUAUAUCGGUUUCGGGCAUCCGAGAUCGAGGAAAGAUUCAUCGGAAGAGGAUGGGCAUGCGGCGCAUUAGCUAGACGGCGGGGUAACGGCCCACCGUGGCGACGAUGCGUAGGGGUUCUGAGAGGAAGGUCCCCCACACUGGUACUGAGACACGGACCAGACUCCUACGGAAGGCAGCAG